GGCGGGGAGAGUUUGAUUCUGGCGCAGACCACUUGACGGGAAAGGCCAUGAGUUGACGGGGAAAGGGGGUCCUGUCGCGCGCCUGAUUAAGCGGGAGUGGAAAAUGGCUGGCCCACUUCAAACUAUCUUGAGUCGUAUUAAGGUCAUGUGUAUUUCCUGACGGUGCGAGAUGGGCCCGCGGCCUAUCAGCUUGUUGGUGAGGUAACGGCUCACCAAGGCGACGACGGGUAGCCGACCUGAGAGGGUGACCGGCCACACUGGGACUGAGACACGGCCCAGGCUCCUACGGGAGGCAGCAGUGGGGAAUAUUGCACAAUGGGCGCAAGCCUGAUGCAGCGACGCCGCGUGCGGGAUGACGGCCUUCGGGUUGUAAACCGCUUUUGACAGGGACGAAGCGCAAGUGACUGUGCCUGUAGAAUAAGGACCGGCCAACUACGUGCCAGCAGCCGCGGUAAUACGUAGGGUCCGAGCGUUGUCCGGAAUUACUGGGCGUAAAGAGCUUGUAGGCGGUUCGUCGCGUCGUUUGUGAAAACUUGGGGCUCAACCUUAAGCUUGCAGGCGAUACGGGCGGACUAGAGUACUUCAGGGGAGACUGGAAUUCCUGGUGUAGCGGUGAAAUGCGCAGAUAUCAGGAGGAACACCGGUGGCGAAGGCGGGUCUCUGGGAAGUAACUGACGCUGAGAAGCGAAAGCAUGGGUAGCAAACAGGAUUAGAUACCCUGGUAGUCCAUGCCGUAAACGGUGGGUACUAGGUGUGGGGCUCCUUCCACGGACUCCGUGCCGUAGCUAACGCAUUAAGUACCCCGCCUGGGGAGUACGGCCGCAAGGCUUAAACUCAAUGAAUUGACGGGG
rnacentral:rRNA from 1 species